rnacentral:rRNA from 1 species
CAUUUGGAUGGGCGAAGCCUGACCGCCUGCCGCGUGUGUGAAGAAGGUCUUCGGAUUGUAAAGCACUUUAAGUUGGGAGGAAGGGCAUUAACCUAAUACGUUAGUGUUUUGACGUUACCGACAGAAUAAGCACCGGCUAACUCUGUGCCAGCAGCCGCGGUAAUACAGAGGGUGCAAGCGUUAAUCGGAAUUACUGGGCGUAAAGCGCGCGUAGGUGGUUUGUUAAGUUGGAUGUGAAAUCCCCGGGCUCAACCUGGGAACUGCAUUCAAAACUGACUGACUAGAGUAUGGUAGAGGGUGGUGGAAUUUCCUGUGUAGCGGUGAAAUGCGGAGAUAUAGGAAGGAACACCAGUGGCGAAGGCGACCACCUGGACUAAUACUGACACUGAGGUGCGAAAG